UCCCUAGUGACUUAGUGGUAAAGAAUCUGCCUGCAAUGCAGGAAAUGCAGGUUCGAUCCCUGGGUCAGGAA
rnacentral:tRNA from 1 species